UCUUACGGGAGGCAGCAGUGAGGAAUAUUGGUCAAUGGCCGAGAGGCUGAACCAGCCAAGUCGCGUGAGGGAUGACGGCCCUACGGGUUGUAAACCUCUUUUGUCGGGGAGCAAAGAGAGUCACGUGUGACUCAUUGAGAGUACCCGAAGAAAAAGCAUCGGCUAACUCCGUGCCAGCAGCCGCGGUAAUACGGAGGAUGCGAGCGUUAUCCGGAUUUAUUGGGUGUAAAGGGUGCGUAGACGGAAGAACAAGUUGGUUGUGAAAUCCCUCGGCUCAACUGAGGAACUGCAACCAAAACUAUUCU
rnacentral:rRNA from 1 species